rnacentral:rRNA from 1 species
UACGAAGGGGGCUAAGCGUUGCUCGGAAUGACUGGGCGUAAAGGGCGCGUAGGCGGACGGCUUUGUCGGGCGUGAAAUUCCAGGGCUUAACCUUGGGGCUGCGUUCGAGACGGGUUGUCUAGAGUUUGGAAGAGGGUCGUGGAAUUCCCAGUGUAGAGGUGAAAUUCGUAGAUAUUGGGAAGAACACCGGUGGCGAAGGCGGCGACCUGGUCCUUGACUGACGCUGAGGCGCGAAAGCGUGGGGAGCAAACAGG